rnacentral:rRNA from 1 species
AGAAUCAACGCUGGCGGCGUGCCUCAGACAUGCAAGUCGAACGCGAAAGUUUCCUUCGGGAGAUGAGUAGAGUGGCGCACGGGUGAGUAACACGUAGGUAAUCUACCUUUGGAUGGGGAAUAACAACCGGAAACGGUUGCUAAUACCGCAUAAUGCAGCGGCACCUAAUGGUGACAGUUGUUAAAGCGGGGGAUCGAAAGACCUCGCGUCUGAAGAGGAGCCUGCGGCGGAUUAGCUAGUUGGUAAGGUAAUGGCUUACCAAGGCUACGAUCC